UGGGGAAUAUUGCACAAUGGGCGAAAGCCUGAUGCAGCAACGCCGCGUGAGUGAUGAAGGCCUUCGGGUUGUAAAGCUCUGUCUUCUGGGACGAUAAUGACGGUACCAGAGGAGGAAGCCACGGCUAACUCCGUGCCAGCAGCCGCGGUAAUACGGAGGGUGCAAGCGUUAUCCGGAUUUAUUGGGUUUAAAGGGUCCGUAGGCGGACUUAUAAGUCAGUGGUGAAAGCCUGUCGCUUAACGAUAGAACUGCCAUUGAUACUGUAAGUCUUGAGUAUAUUUGAGGUAGCUGGAAUAAGUAGUGUAGCGGUGAAAUGCAUAGAUAGUACUUAGAACACCAAUUGCGAAGGCAGGUUACCAAGAUAUAACUGACGCUGAGGGACGAAAGCGUGGGGAGCGAACA
rnacentral:rRNA from 1 species